CGGUAAUACGUAGGGCGCAAGCGUUAUCCGGAAUUAUUGGGCGUAAAGAGCUCGUAGGCGGUUUGUCGCGUCUNCCGUGAAAGUCCGGGGCUCAACUCCGGAUCUNCGGUGGGUACGGGCAGACUAGAGUGAUGUAGGGGAGACUGGAAUUCCUGGUGUAGCGGUGAAAUGCGCAGAUAUCAGGAGGAACACCGAUGGCGAAGGCAGGUCUCUGGGCAUUAACUGACGCUGAGGAGCGAAAGCAUGGGGAGCGAACAGGAUUAGAUACCCUGGUAGUCCAUGCCGUAAACGUUGGGCACUAGGUGUGGGGGACAUUCCACGUUUUCCGCGCCGUAGCUAACGCAUUAAGUGCCCCGCCUGGGGAGUACGGCCGCAAGGCUAAAACUCAAAGGAAUUGACGGGGGCCCGCACAAGCGGCGGAGCAUGCGGAUUAAUUCGAUGCAACGCGAAGAACCUUACCAAGGCUUGACAUGAACCGGUAAGACCUGGAAACAGGUCCCCCACUUGUGGCCGGUUUACAGGUGGUGCAUGGUUGUCGUCAGCUCGUGUCGUGAGAUGUUGGGUUAAGUCCCGCAACGAGCGCAACCCUCGUUCCAUGUUGCCAGCGCGUUAUGGCGGGGACUCAUGGGAGACUNCCGGGGUCAACUCGGAGGAAGGUGGGGACGACGUCAAAUCAUCAUGCCCCUUAUGUCUUGGGCUUCACGCAUGCUACAAUGGCCGGUACAAAGGGUUGCGAUACUGUGAGGUGGAGCUAAUCCCAAAAAGCCGGUCUCAGUUCGGAUUGGGGUCUGCAACUCGACCCCAUGAAGUCGGAGUCGCUAGUAAUCGCAGAUCAGCAACGCUGCGGUGAAUAC
rnacentral:rRNA from 1 species